UCCCCACACAACUCAAAAAAAAAAAGUGUACACAUUUGUACUGUUUUGUUGACUGUCUUUUAAAAACUAACCGAACUUAUGAUUUUUAAUGCUGUGAUUGAUAACGUCAUGUAUGUCUUGAUUUUGUUUCUGUUGCCAUGCUGGUUGUUUCUUUGACGAGAGUUGGCUGCUGCAUGCCUGCACAUAUGAUGAAAGCUAUCCAUGUUACUAAAGGUUGCCAUGUGACUAAAGGUUGUCUAGAAACUCAAUGCUACACUCUAUCCACUGUAGGUCAACCGUGUGACAGCUACUAUUAUCUUCAGUGGCAUGUCAACCUGGAACAAAAGAACAUCACCGAAGGUUCUACAGCAUAGAUUGCCUUUACAUCAUUGAAGAUUGAACUGCAUCUACAUUUGGACAUGUUAUCCAUGUGACGGCACAGUCACUGCUACAGUUGCUGCAGGUCAUCCGCACAGGCACAGCUUGUCCAAGUAUUAAGUCACAAGGAACUGGAGUGUAUAAUGUUGCCAUGCUGGCUGUCCCUAGUUAGGGUGGGCUGCUGUUAGCACAGAUGAUGAAAGCAUGUCAACCUGGAACAAAAGAACAUCGCUGAAGGUUCUACAACAUAGAUUGCUAUGACACUAUUAAAGAUCAAGGAGGCUCUUGGAAGAGGGUCAGAACACUCAACAGACCACCUUGCUUCCCAGACGGUAGAGAUUGAACAGAGUAUUGACAACAGCAGUGAUGAACCUGAUGUCUGGAGUCCCAAUCAAGACUCGACCUCAAAUCAUCAACAGAACACAGGUUGGAUGCUUCGUACUGCAUCGACCUUUUAAAGUACCAAAAGCACUUUCUGUCCACUCCCUCAAAACUUUUCAUGUUACGGAUUUUCAAACAUCAAACUGUUCAUCAGCUGCUUAAAUUUUCUCAAACCAUAUGUAUGCAGACCCUUACACUUUUGGCUUCAAAACUUUGUUAAGAUUGGUCACCAAGUUGGUUGUGACAUAGAAAGUUCCAAGCUCAUGUGUGUUGUUCCUCAAAAACUAAGAUGCUGGACUGUCUUUAAAAUUACCGAAAAUAGUUUGUCAAUUAUUUUGUAAAUUGUGGCAAUCCUGUGAUUUUCAUUUUGGGAUUUUUUUGUCAUGUUUGCUUUGAUUUCAUCAAGGUUGCCAUGCAAUGUAUCAUUAGGGCAUCCCUGCUAUAAUUAUUUUUUUCACCCUGAGUGCCAUACUGGUAUUGUACUUACAAACUUGCAAUCUAUAUCAAUUUUGUCUUGCUGUGAGUUUACACAAGUUGUUCCAGGUACCAGUCAUCUUGAGAAAUAGUCAAUAUUAAACAUUUUGUUCUUAACUAAUAUUUCUGGAUAGUUUUUUCAACUGUUCCAUUUAACCCUUUGAAGUGUUGUUUUUUGCAACUCAUUUUUUCGACUUUUUUUAUACUUCAGGAUUUUCUUUGAC